CAAUGAUGAUUCCCUUAGAUGACGAGUCUUAUUGGAGUUAUCCAUGCAGACAACAUCUUUUUUUUAACCAUUCAUGCAUUUCUGAUA
rnacentral:snoRNA from 1 species